AAUUCUCAAACCUGCUGGUCUUUAUUGACUAUGUAGGCUUUGGAUGUGGGAGCUGCUGGCCUAACGGGUCGGCUCUCCUUAAAUGCAUUAGUGGCUUGUCGAUCCCCAUUCACUUGGUGUGAUAGUAAUAUCUACAUUGAGGAUGGCUAGGUCAUGCUAUGGCAACUGCUUUCUAACUGUCUUUUGUUAGACAACUUGAACC
rnacentral:misc_RNA from 1 species